UUUCAUUCAGAAGUCAUGAUUCACCAUUGUCUCUUAUUAUUCUUUCUUCAGUUUAUGGAUUUAAAGCACCCAGUCGUGGAAAAUACCUUUUGCAUAAAUGUCAUCUGCUCUGUGGAGAAAAAAACAGGAAGAUCAUAAAGUUGGAGCAUACCUAUGCCAGCCUUAGUACACAGAGUGUUUCCCGGCACAAAGCUCUAGAGCAGAGCUGUCCCUCCAACUCCUCCAUGGCUGUCCUCUCCCACAGCAGCUUCUGAAACAGGAAUUCAACUGAGGCAGCAAGGCUGCCAUGAUACUUUGUAGAUCACGUACCAUGAGAAACGGCAGUUGUGCUUACACCUUUGUAGCAUUGGGGCUUCCAGCUCAUUAUGAGCUUGGCAGUGAGUCUGCUGGUGAUUUUGCUGCUGGUAUUAGAUAUUAAUCAGAUGGCUGGGAUUUCUGAUGCAGUCUUUGUACUGGCAUGAAAACAGCAGUAUAUCACGUGGCAGG